rnacentral:lncRNA from 1 species
CUUCUAGAUGACUAUUGCCACCUUCUCUCCUCACUUCAAAUCUUUCAUGCCUCCUGAGCAAGAUCACACAUCUUCAUCUCUUUAGAAUCCAUCACUGGUGACUUGUUUUGUCUAUAAGUGGGCCUAUCCAGUCGUCUAAGCAGACUGUUGUCAGAGACUGUGAUCACGGCAACCAUUUCAGCACUAGCAAUUGCCCUAAUCCCUGGUUCACAGUGAGGGCUCCAAGAUUGGCUUGGCACCUCUGUCCAUAUGGAUCUGGGGAAAACCUAAGGGGGUUACCCAGGCUAUAUGGAAAAGCUCACCAGAAACUUAAGUCUAGAAGUCAUUCCUGGUGGCCAAGAUGGAUGUGUGUCUCCCAGAAGAUUCCUGUAUAGGUGGGACAAUGCCAUGACUGCUGCAAGGGUGCUGGAACUGACUCUGGACUUCCUCUGAAUCUGAUGUGAAAAGAUGCUGGUGAGCCCAUCUCAGUGGCCCAGACAUGUGUGCUUCCCAGCGGUUUCCUGCACUAACAGAGGAGUUCCCCAGUUCUAGCAAGAAGGCCCAGAACUGAGCUGGGCCCCCUCAGGAACUGCUGUAGGACAAUGGGCCCAUUACAAAGGUUCAGGCAAAUUCCCAGGCUCUGAGAUGUAAGUUAGUUUCCCUCGGGGUUAUUGUGUGAGCUGUAAUAAGCUGAGAGGUGAGGGUGGCUAGAGGUGAUUUACAGGGUAACUUUCAGAUCCACUCCCAAGAUCAAUGUUAGUGGGCAGGUGAGCCUUUAUGCUGAGAGACUAGUGUGCAUGAUUCCUUCCAGGUCCCUUGAUAAAUGGUUUUGGUUGCAGGUUCAAGUCUGAAUGGCAUUGUAGCCAUGCCCUUUGGGGAAUUACACUGUUGCCAGGUUUGAAUCUGGGAACACAAUCAGAGGGUCUGCAACUUGGAUGCUGGUCUGCACUCUCAAAACACUCUUUCUAGGUUUGUACUUCACCAGGAUUUCAUAAUCUCCUACCUAAAUUUCGAGGAUCUCACAGCGAGACUUUGUGGAUAGGUGCAGAAUUCUUAUUUUUGUUGGGGAUGGUAUGAGA